UAAUCAUAUGCUUGUCUCAAAGAUUAAGCCAUGCAUGUCUAAGUACAAGCCGCGUACGCGGCGAGACUGCGGACGGCUCAUUAAAUCGGUUAUGAAUCCACUGGGGCCAGACUCACCCGUGGAUAACGUGCGGUAACUCCGGUGCUAAUACAUGCAACAAGGCUCCGACCCUGUCUUCGGGCGGGGGAAGGGCGCACUUAUUAGGCGAAAACCAAUGGCUCGCUUCGGCGGGCGUUGGUGGACGACACCCGAGUAAUUGCCGCCGAUCGCACGGCCACAGCGCCGGCGACGCCUGCACUGAGUUUCUGAUCUAUCAUGCUGUCGACGGUUGGUGCUAUGCCAACCGUGGCGUUAACGGAUAACAAAGAAUCUGGGUUCGAUUCUGGAGAGGCCGCAUGAGAAACGGCGAUCACUUCCAAGGAAGGCAGCAGGCACGCAAAUUACCCACUUCGGACACCGAGAGGUAGUGACGAACAAUACCGAUGCGGCGCACUUACGUGUCGCCGUAAUCGGAAUGAGUACACUUCAAAUCCUUUAACGAGGAUCCACUGGAGGGCAAGCCUGGUGCCAGCAGCCGCGGUAAUUCCAGCUCCAGCAGCGUAUAUUUAUAUUGCUGCGUUUAAAAAGCUCGUAGUUGAAGCGUCAGACGCGGGAGGGCGGACGGCCGCACUGGUCGCUCUCGCCCGACCGAGCCAGGCGCAGAGGGCGCGCGUCGCUUGC
rnacentral:rRNA from 1 species